UGGGGAAUAUUGCACAAUGGGCGGAAGCCUGAUGCAGCGACGCCGCGUGGGGGAUGAAGGCCUUCGGGUUGUAAACCCCUUUCGACAGGGACGAAGCUUUUGUGACGGUACCUGUAUAAGAAGCACCGGCUAACUACGUGCCAGCAGCCGCGGUAAUACGUAGGGUGCGAGCGUUGUCCGGAAUUACUGGGCGUAAAGAGCUCGUAGGUGGUUUGUCGCGUCGUCUGUGAAAUUCCGGGGCUUAACUCCGGGCGUGCAGGCGAUACGGGCUGACUUGAGUGCUGUAGGGGAGACUGGAAUUCCUGGUGUAGCGGUGAAAUGCGCAGAUACCAGGAGGAACACCGAUGGCGAAGGCAGGUCUCUGGGCAGUAACUGACGCUGAGGAGCGAAAGCAUGGGUAGCGAACAGGAUUAGAUACCCUGGUAGUCCAUGCCGUAAACGGUGGGCGCUAGGUGUAGGGGGCUUCCACGUCUUCUGUGCCGUAGCUAACGCAUUAAGCGCCCCGCCUGGGGAGUACGGCCGCAAGGCUA
rnacentral:rRNA from 1 species